rnacentral:lncRNA from 1 species
GACAAUCUUGUUUCUUGUUUCAACAGUACAGCAUAUGGAAACUAACCUGAUUUAGAAGUCACAACACCGAGUCAAGCAGGCAAUCUAGACGUGACAUGCACCUUAAACUAAUACUUUCAUUUGUGCCUAUACAAAAACAAAGGUGAACUAUCAUGAUCAGACCAAGAUGGAUAUCACCUAUUGUACUUGGUAGUGUUAUAACGGUGAAUCAACCAAAACCAACAUUUCGACGACUUCCUAUGAUUCAUUCAACUGUAGUCCAGAGGGUACCUUCCAUGCAUGAAGCAAGCACUAGUCACCUUCCCUGGCUACCCUUCUCAGUCAGUGGUCAUUGGUUGUAUGCAACAUCGGAAGCGUGCUUUACGAACAGUAUGCACGAUAUCUUCUUGAGCACCUUCAAGCAGACUG